UAAAUGAUCCUAACAACUCUAGAAAAUAAGUAGUACUAACUUCAUAUUAAGUAUGACUUAAACAAGUCAUGCACUUUGCAAAUGAUAUGGCAGAUUUCUGCUUGACCACACAGUGAAUGCUUUGUCCAAACCACCUAUUUUGCUUUGAACUAUUCUAUUUUGGCCUGGGAAGGGGAAUUACUGCUGAUGUGAUUGGUUAAUGGUUAGUCCUAUUACACCAGGCUUGUAUCCAUUGCUACCUUUUUGUAUGUCUCUGAAUUAUCAAACGAACAGGAGCCUCCUGACUGAGACUAUGUACUAUUAAUGGAUCAUAUGUAUCCAGAUAUAUUUACAGAUAGAAUACAUUUCAGAAACAUAAAGGACAAUAAAAAAUGGCAGAAUUUACAAUCUUAACAACAUGGUUGCAGAAGCAGAACGGGAAAGUCAUGUAGGCAGUCAAGGUAAUACGCACAAUGUAAACAUGUCAUCUAGGACAUGAAGAAAACCUUUUGGGCCAAGUAGUACAGCAUGUUUAGUUAGAUCUAAACAAAUGUGCAUGACUAUAACCCCAAAUCUGUAAUUUCAUUUCUUUCCUUUUCCACAAUUAUCCAAUCUUCAGUUUUACCAGUAGUAUCAGAGACAUUUUCUGCUCUUAAACUCUAGCUAUCUGUGACACUUCCUUCUGGAAAGUGUCCAAAGCUUGAACCCUCCCUAGUUUCUCACACAUCUGUGCAUUAUUAGCCUGUUUCUGGUCAAAUCGUGUGGCAGAUGAACAACAGCCACAAAUUCUUUGACAUUCUUCCUAUAGGGAGGUAGGGCCUAUUUGCUAUCUCCUUGAAUCUGGGCUGCCAUUAAUCUCUUUCCACUAAUGGAGUGCAGUGUUAGGGAUUAUGACAGUUGUAGACCUUGUUUCUAUGAGAUUGACAGCUUCUACUUCAGUCUCCUAAAGCCCCCAGGGACAAAACAAGAAGUCAGAUCACACUGCUGGAGAGACCACAUGGAGAAUAUUGAGAAUAUGUGGAGAGAGACAGAAGAAUCUAGCUGAGCCCAGCCUUCCAAUUGUCCACAGCAAGACAUAAUGAAUGGAAGUAAAACCACCUUGGAUCAGGUGAAAACUGGACAGGUAGUGAAUUAGAACACAGACACUGGAGCCCAAUUGCCGGGGACCAGACUUCAGCUCUGCCAUUUACUGUGGGAUGACCUCGAGCAAAUUUUUUCACAUCUUAGUGUUGUUGGGGUUUUCUCAUCAGAAGUAUGAGGGUAUAAUA
rnacentral:lncRNA from 10 species